rnacentral:rRNA from 1 species
AACGAACGCUGGCGGCAGGCUUAACACAUGCAAGUCGAACGCCCCGCAAGGGGAGUGGCAGACGGGUGAGUAACGCGUGGGAAUCUACCCAUCUCUACGGAAUAACUCAGGGAAACUUGUGCUAAUACCGUAUACGCCCUUCGGGGAAAGAUUUAUCGGAGAUGGAUGAGCCCGCGUUGGAUUAGCUAGUUGGUGGGGUAAAGGCCUACCAAGGCGACGAUCCAUAGCUGGUCUGAGAGGAUGAUCAGCCACAUUGGGACUGAGACACGGCCCAAACUCCUACGGGAGGCAGCAGUGGGGGAAUAUUGGACAAUGGGCGCAAGCCUGAUCCAGCCAUGCCGCGUGAGUGAUGAAGGCCCUAGGGUUGUAAAGCUCUUUCACCGAUGAAGAUAAUGACUGUAGUCGGAGAAGAAGCCCCGG